GAUGAAGAACGCAGCGAAAUGCGAUAAGUAAUGUGAAUUGCAGAAUUCAGUGAAUCAUCGAAUCUUUGAACGCACAUUGCGCCCCUUGGUAUUCCGAGGGGCAUGCCUGUUCGAGCGUCAUUAUAACCCUCAAGCUCAGCUUGGUGUUGGGGCCUGCUGCACUGGCAGCCCUUAAAAUCAGUGGCGGCGCCAUCUGGCUCUAAGCGUAGUAAUUCUUCUCGCUAUGGAGUCCUGGUGGAUGCUUGCCAUCAACCCCCAAUUUUUCUAUGGUUGACCUCGGAUCAGGUAGGGAUACCCGCUGAACUUAAGCAUAUCAAUAAGCGCAGGA
rnacentral:misc_RNA from 1 species